rnacentral:rRNA from 1 species
UACGUAGGGGGCUAGCGUUGUCCGGAAUCAUUGGGCGUAAAGAGCGUGUAGGCGGCUUUACAGGUCCGUUGUGAAAACUCGAGGCUCAACCUCGAGACGCCGGUGGAAACCGUAAGCUAGAGUCCGGAAGAGGCGAGUGGAACUCCUGGUGUAGCGGUGGAAUGCGCAGAUAUCAGGAAGAACACCAACGGCGAAGGCAGCUCGCUGGGACGGAACUGACGCUGAGACGCGAAAGCGUGGGGAGCGAACAGG